GCUACCUCGCUCUUGCCGUCACGGGUUGCUUGUCGUCGAACCUCAUCGCUACCAGCGCAAGCCACCACAGCUCUCCGCCCUAGCUUGCCCACGCCUGUGCGAGCAACCGUAGCUCCCCGAAGGUUCUCACCCACGCUGAUACCCGAGCGAGCCACUGCGACUCGCCGCCGGUUCUCGUCCACGUCUGCAGGCGCCGGCGCAGUUCUUCCUUGCCUCACGGAUGCCUGCGCUAGAUACCGCAGCUCGCUGCGGGUUCUCCCCCACGCCUGCGCGCGAUAGCGCAGCUCUCUGCGGGUCCUGAACAAGUGGCGUGACGGCAGCAGCGGCCGGAGGAAGAGAUGGAUGCGUGUGUAGGUCCUGAAGAUGUUGAAUGCAAGCAACAUAGAGAACUGUCCAACACUACUUUCUUGUCAAUUUUUGCAUGUCCAGCCUUCUCGGAAGAUGGCAUUAGGCAGUUUACUUUCUGAUGGAGACCACUUCUGAUGCUACCUAGAUUGGCCGAUCUACUUUUUUCAUCAGCGACACUACUAUCCAUUUCAUGAGGAAGCACUCGGCUAGAUUGGCCGAUCUACUUUUUUCAUCAGCGACACUACUAUCCAUUUCAUGAGGAAGCACUCGGCAUAUCUGUUGUAGGAUCACAAUGUUCAGCCUGGCUUCUAUCUUGUAUCUGGUGAAAUUUAGCUACUUAGAGAGUGCAUCCUUAACUUUCCGCCAAAGGACAAUUCUCCGAUAAUUCAGAAUUCUAUUCCAAAAGGAAACUGCUUUUCAAAGGGCAUUGAGAUGCAAAGGAGAGCCUUUCAAGAGAUCAUUCGAUCCCAAAUUGUGCAUAUUGGUGUGUAACUUGAAGUACACAAAAAGAACAAACAAGUUGUGCUUCGGGACCGCCCAUUUGCUGCUUAAAAGGGUUGAACAUGUGCCAGGCAUUGCUCGGAGUUUGCUCAGACUUGAUCUUCAGGGUGAAAAUCCAUGAUCUGACCUUUGGGUAUUGGGUCCGGUGACGGCUUCACUUGUGUGUUGAUUUCUUUCCGCAGGCAUCACUUUUGAAGAACCUCUCUCGUAGUUUUUAUGUUGUCAUGAGAUAGUUGGAGCCGAUGUUUGUUUUUGUACAUCACUGAUCACUAUUUUUAUCGCUUUGGGAUGUUUUUCCUUUUUCUUUCCACCUAGGCAUAGCUUCGGUCUAGUAUGACUUGGCUCUUUGCCAGCAAGAUCGUGUGUGUGUGUGUGUGUGCGCGCGCACGUGCGUGUGCGUGGGCAUGUGCAUGCGUGUGCGUGUGAGUGUGUCGCUCAUUAUAAUUGUAUCCCUUGAUGCUAUAUUAUGAGU